rnacentral:rRNA from 1 species
GACGAACGCUGGCGGCGUGCUUAACACAUGCAAGUCGAACGGAAAGGCCCUGCUUUUGUGGGGUGCUCGAGUGGCGAACGGGUGAGUAACACGUGAGUAACCUGCCCUUGACUUUGGGAUAACUUCAGGAAACUGGGGCUAAUACCGGAUAGGAGCUCCUGCUGCAUGGUGGGGGUUGGAAAGUUUCGGCGGUUGGGGAUGGACUCGCUGGUUAUCAGCUUGUUGGUGGGGUAGUGGCUUACCAAGGCUUUGACGGGUAGCCGGCCUGAGAGGGUGACCGGCCACAUUGGGCCUGAGAUACGGCCCAGACUCCUACGGGAGGCAGCAGUGGGGAAUAUUGCACAAUGGGCGGAAGCCUGAUGCAGCAACGCCGCGUGCGGGAUGACGGCCUUCGGGUUGUAAACCGCUUUCGCCUGUGACGAAGCGUGAGUGACGGUAAUGGGUAAAGAAGCACCGGCUAACUACGUG